AAGGCGACGAUCCCUAGCUGGUCUGAGAGGAUGACCAGUCACACUGGAACUGAGACACGGUCCAGACUCCUACGGGAGGCAGCAGUGGGGAAUUUUGGACAAUGGGCGAAAGCCUGAUCCAGCAAUGCCGCGUGCAGGAAGAAGGCCUUCGGGUUGUAAAGCUCUUUUGUCAGGGAAGAAACGGUGAGGGCUAAUAUCCCUUGCUAAUGACGGUACCUGAAGAAUAAGCACCGGCUAACUACGUGCCAGCAGCCGCGGUAAUACGUAGGGUGCAAGCGUUAAUCGGAAUUACUGGGCGUAAAGCGUGCGCAGGCGGUUUUGUAAGUCUGAUGUGAAAUCCCCGGGCUCAACCUGGGAACUGCAUCUGAUCUGGCAAGC
rnacentral:rRNA from 1 species